rnacentral:rRNA from 1 species
UACGUAGGGUGCAAGCGUUGUCCGGAAUUAUUGGGCGUAAAGAGCUCGUAGGCGGUUCGUUGCGUCGGCUGUGAAAACCCGGAGCUCAACUCCGGGCCUGCAGUCGAUACGGGCGGACUUGAGUGUUGCAGGGGAGACUGGAAUUCCUGGUGUAGCGGUGAAAUGCGCAGAUAUCAGGAGGAACACCGGUGGCGAAGGCGGGUCUCUGGGCAACUACUGACGCUGAGGAGCGAAAGCGUGGGGAGCGAACAGG